AUGCGAGUUACGGUUAGCGGCGGAAUCAGAAUCCUGACGGAAACCACGGCCUUUCGUCUUCUUGGGAACGGAGAGAGUCGAAGAAGCGGUGAUGGCGGAUUUGAGUUUAGGAUGAGGUGGGUUUAUGGUGUUUGUUGGUUUACAGAGGAGAUCGAGGGAAUGAUGAUGGUGAAAUGGAAGGCGGUUGUUAAUGGGGAUGGUACGGUGGGAGCAUUUGGAAAUGGGUGGUUGUGUAAGGUUGUUGUGAAGGGGAAAACGGAGAGGGUGGAGGUUGUGACUCCGGCGACGGGAAGACAGUGGUGA